CAGCAGCCGCGGGAAUACGAAGGGUGCAAGCGUUAAUCGGAAUCACUGGGCUUAAAGCGCGUGUAGGCGGAUGGGGACGUCGGUCGCUGAAAUCCCCCGGCUCAACCGGGGAACUGGCCCCGAAACGCCCCGUCUGGAGGAACGUAGGGGGAUCUGGAACUUCCGGUGGAGCGGUGAAAUGCGUUGAGAUCGGAAGGAACGCCCGUGGCGAAAGCGAGAUCCUGGACGUUUUCUGACGCUGAGACGCGAAAGCUAGGGUAGCGAACGGGAUUAGAUACCCCGGUAGUCCCUGUCUCUUAUA
rnacentral:rRNA from 1 species